AAAUGUGCUCUUUUAGUUUUUCUCCAGUAGGUUUUUUCAAGGAGAAAGCCCCA
ensembl:snRNA U7 U7 small nuclear RNA